rnacentral:rRNA from 1 species
UAGGGAAUCUUCCGCAAUGGGCGAAAGCCUGACGGAGCAACGCCGCGUGAGUGAUGAAGGUCUUCGGAUGGUAAAACUCUGUUAUUAGGGAAGAACAAAUGUGUAAGUAACUAUGCACGUCUUGACGGUACCUAAUCAGAAAGCCACGGCUAACUACGUGCCAGCAGCCGCGGUAAUACGUAGGUGGCAAGCGUUAUCCGGAAUUAUUGGGCGUAAAGCGCGCGUAGGCGGUUUUUUAAGUCUGAUGUGAAAGCCCACGGCUCAACCGUGGAGGGUCAUUGGAAACUGGAAAACUUGAGUGCAGAAGAGGAAAGGGGAAUUCCAUGUGUAGCGGUGAAAUGCGCAGAGAUAUGGAGGAACACCAGUGGCGAAGGCGACUUUCUGGUCUGUAACUGACGCUGAUGUGCGAAAGCGUGGGGUUCAAACAGG